rnacentral:lncRNA from 1 species
CUAAUUAAUUUUGAACCGAGCUAGCCUACAUUAGAAAAGAUUUACAUUAAGGGCAAGCUUAUGGUACCCAUUGCAUACAUGUGACUUAAAUUGUGAGAGUGAGUGUUUCCAUUCAUAUAUUUGAGUAUUUGACUUGAUUGUGUGAAAUGAAUUCCGUUUGUGUUAACGUGAUUGUGAGGGCAUAUGAUUCGUGAUAGAAAAACAAGUCUUGACUUCUGUGUAGAGUGCUUUGAAGAAGUGCGAAUAUUGCGUGGCACUUAAGAGUUAGCUUUGAGGCUAGCAUUGUUCACUGCUAGGCGCAACGUAUAUAUAUAUUGUUCUAGGUGGAAUGCGCUAGGGCAAAUAGUUGAGUAGAAAAGUAUCUAGAGAGCAUGGUGUGCUUGCUCGAGGGCUAGCAAUGAAUUAAGUGUGGGGUGCUGAUAAUAGGCGAAAUCAAGGUGAUUUAGCCAUUGUUUGUGCCUCUACUUGAUUGUAUUCCGAUCGUAUAUUAUGAUUAUUGAUGAAAGAUGGGCUCUAAUAGCGAAUUGUGUUUGUUGCAGGUUAAGGAGCUUAUGUUGGGCAAGAAAACAUCGAUUGGAACCAUUCGGGAGCAAUUAAGACCCCGCGGGACUGAGUGUGACCGAAGAGAGACAAGUAAAUGGUGAAGUUGGACACCUGGGCAUGCGCGCCCAGGUGCGAGCGCACGCAUAAUACGCGCGUCCAUUACAAAGGACUGGGCAGUUGCGCGUCCAGAUGUGCGGCCUUCUGUGCGCUCGCGCAUGUCCGGGAAACAAGUGUCAUGUUUCAGGGGAAAAUAUGGAAUCUGGGGGAAAAUCCCACUUAAACUAUCUAAAGUCAAGCUUGCCCAAGGUCAAGAUAUCAAGGUUUUCAUAACGUUUUGCAAGAAUUAGAGAGGCAAGAGGCAAGGAGAAUUUUGGAUCAUCAAGUUCUUUUCUUCUCUUUGUUUUUGAUAAUUGUGAUGA